CCUUCRGCUGAUGUCCAGAGACAGCUUGGAGUACCUCAAAUGGACAGUGUUGUAUCACUACAACUAUUGCUAUUUCUAUAAUGAAUGGCAGCCCGCUUCAUUCUGAGCAGCAGCAACUCAUCCGAUCACAAUGAGGUUAACUGAGCAAGGAACGCUUUUCCAGAGGGUUGUACAUUGCUUUCAAUACUGAGAGUUAACACUUACAGCAGUAGGGGUUUGUAGAGCUGAUUUUUGUGAAAUGAAAUAAGAAAC